rnacentral:miRNA from 1 species
UUAGGAUGGUGCAAAAGUAAUUGUGGUUUUUGCCAUUUAAAAGUAAAGGCCAAAACCGCAAUUACUUUUUCACCAACCUAAU